GUCGGUGUGGCUCAGUUGGUUAGAGCGUUGGUCUCAUACUCAAGUAUGAUCUGAUCGAAGAUCAGGGACAUCCAAAGGUCGAGAGUUCGAGCCUCUCCACCGACA